rnacentral:lncRNA from 1 species
GUUUAAAAAUCUAUUCAUCGUUCAUGUGUCACAUAACAUGACCGGGAAAUAAAAAAAGUUCAAAACAAAGAAACAUAGUACCUCCUUGCCCCACAAUCUCUGGUGUUCGUCCACAAGGCGCAUAAUCUACAAACUGUUCUUUCCUCACAACAGUCAGAUGUAAAAUUAGACGUGAACUCCAUACUUAUCUGAAUCAUUGUCAUUAAAUUUGACUUGUUAAAAGCCAUGGAUUCCAUUAAUUCGUAUGUACUCUAUACUUGCAAACUGUCGAGAACCACUAUAUAGGAAGGAUAAAUCAUCAACAACCA